UCGACAUAAGCAUCAUCUCUAGCCACUCACGAUUUUGGGAGACAGGUCGCAGAUUUGUAUUAUUAAUUUGGAAAAGAUCAAAUUAUAGCAAAUAAAUCGCAUCAAAAUGACCAACGCCUGGAGAGCAGCUGGUAUUACCUACAUCCAAUACUCGAAUAUUGCGGCCCGUGUCCUACGCGAAGCUCUGCGUACUGAACUCCGUGCUGACGCCGCCAAGCGGAACGAGAGCCAUGUAAAGUUCACCCCAUGGGCCAAUGGCAGACCAGCGCAUGAAAAGGCAUAAAACAAAAAAUUUAACAAAACUAUAAUUUCGAAAUAAGAAAGAAACCACAAGGAGAGGCGGCAUUUUCACGUCAAAAUCAAUCGGAGUCUUAAGAUGGAUAGAUGUCUCUUCUCUGGUGCAGCAGAUGAAUGAAUCAACUACUGCCACACAAUUAUCCGCAGUGUUUUCUUUCCCCCCCCAAAAAAAAAAUUAUAUACUAUAAAUAAAAUGUGUUAAAUUAAACCAUUAAAAACAACACGAACAAAAACUUUCGUACUUUCAA